AUGGUUUUCAAUAUUCUUUCAUGUCUUUCCUCUCAAAACCAAUGGUAUCCUUAAAUCUAAUUUAACAAUACUAUCAAUAGAUAUUUUAUUAGAAUAUGUAUUUUUCAUUCAUCAAACAUGAAACAUUAAAAUAAAGUUGAAAUCACAUACAUACUGUAAUAAUUUCAGAGCAUUUUUUGGUCCAACGAUAGGGGGUGUUUUAGUAGAAAAGUUUGGAUUUCUGUGGGCGUCUACAGGUAUAGCGUGGAUGCUAUGCUUUGGGGUCCUUCCUAUUGAACAAAGAAGAUUAAUAUUGAAACUGUGUGUUAUUAUGCAGCAAAAUAUAUGGUGGGUUGAUGUUGAUAUAUACCUGUGCUGUACCCGAUCUGCCGAAGUUUCCUGACGAAACAACAGUUGAUAUUAAGGAUGGAAAUGGAAACCCACCAGUGGACAAUAAAUAUAUAUUUUAACGACUUUGUUAAAUCAAAUGAAAAUAAAUACACAUGAAAUAUCAGUCUAGGUGGUGGUCCAGAGGUGUGAAAUGAACUCCCUUAUGAAAUCAGAAAUUGUGACACUUUAAACUGUAACUUUGAACAAACCUAUGUACGCUGUCUCUCUCUAUAUUUUAUCUAUAUACUGUAGUUCCUUGAUUAAACCUAACUUACUUGUCUUAACAUUACAGUCUUCUGGAUUACACCACACUUGAGGCGCGUUUUGUCCGUUUGUUGUUUCAACCUUCUGGACAGGUAAUUUUCUGUUGUCAGUUGGAUAUCUAGACCUGAUGGGCAGAAAUACUGUGUAAUUCAAUUCCGCAUGAAGUACAUUGGAAGUGGUUAUUUAUUCAACAUUCGUUUCCAUAUUUGCUGGUACCGGCUCAAUGGGCAUCAUAGCAUCAGGGAGUGAUGCGUAGCAUGUUUGAAGUAAUAAGUGAUGGUAAUUUGAACAUCAGUAUGUAGCCAGUUUGGGCGUACCUCAUAAGGGGUCAUAGCAUCAGAGAGGGAAGGGUGC
rnacentral:lncRNA from 1 species